GGAACGUACCCAAGAGUGGGGGAUAACGUAGCGAAAGUUACGCUAAUACCGCAUACGAUCUAUGGAUGAAAGCAGGGGACCGCAAGGCCUUGUGCUCCUGGAGCGGCCGAUAUCUGAUUAGCUAGUUGGUGAGGUAAAGGCUCACCAAGGCGACGAUCAGUAGCUGGUCUGAGAGGACGACCAGCCACACUGGAACUGAGACACGGUCCAGACUCCUACGGGAGGCAGCAGUGGGGAAUUUUGGACAAUGGGCGCAAGCCUGAUCCAGCAAUGCCGCGUGAGUGAAGAAGGCCUUCGGGUUGUAAAGCUCUUUUGUCAGGGAAGAAACGGUGGGGGCUAAUAUCCUCCGCUAAUGACGGUACCUGAAGAAUAAGCACCGGCUAACUACGUGCCAGCAGCCGCGGUAAUACGUAGGGUGCAAGCGUUAAUCGGAAUUACUGGGCGUAAAGCGUGCGCAGGCGGUUUUGUAAGUCUGUCGUGAAAGCCCCGGGCUCAACCUGGGAAUUGCGAUGGAGACUGCAAGGCUUGAAUCUGGCAGAGGGGGGUAGAAUUCCACGUGUAGCAGUGAAAUGCGUAGAGAUGUGGAGGAACACCGAUGGCGAAGGCAGCCCCCUGGGUCAAGAUUGACGCUCAUGCACGAAAGCGUGGGGAGCAAACAGGAUUAGAUACCCUGGUAGUCCACGCCCUAAACGAUGUCUACUAGUUGUCGGGUUUUAAUUAACUUGGUAACGCAGCUAACGCGUGAAGUAGACCGCCUGGGGAGUACGGUCGCAAGAUUAAAACUCAAAGGAAUUGACGGGGACCCGCACAAGCGGUGGAUGAUGUGGAUUAAUUCGAUGCAACGCGAAAAACCUUACCUACCCU
rnacentral:rRNA from 1 species